rnacentral:tRNA from 2 species
GGUCCUAUAACUCAGUUGGUUAGAGUGCUGUGCUAAUAACGCAGAAGUCGAGAGUUCGAGCCUCCCUGGGAUCA